AGUGAACGCUGGCGGUAGGCCUAACACAUGCAAGUCGAACGGCAGCACAGUAAGAGCUUGCUCUUACGGGUGGCGAGUGGCGGACGGGUGAGGAAUACAUCGGAAUCUACUUUUUCGUGGGGGAUAACGUAGGGAAACUUACUCUAAUACCGCAUACGACCUACGGGUGAAAGCAGGGGAUCUUCGGACCUUGCGCGAUUGAAUGAGCCGAUGUCGGAUUAGCUAGUUGGCGGGGUAAAGGCCCACCAAGGCGACGAUCCGUAGCUGGUCUGAGAGGAUGAUCAGCCACACUGGAACUGAGACACGGUCCAGACUCCUACGGGAGGCAGCAGUGGGGAAUAUUGGACAAUGGGCGCAAGCAUGAUACAGCCAUACCGCGUGGGUGAAGAAGGCCUUCGGGUUGUAAAGCCCUUUUGUUGGGAAAGAAAAGCAGCAGGUUAAUACCCCGCUGUUCUGACGGUACCCAAAGAAUAAGCACCGGCUAACUUCGUG
rnacentral:rRNA from 1 species